CUAAGCCACUACAUGUUUCCUAUCAGAACCACUAGAUGGCAGCCUAUCACGAGACUAGACAUUUCCUCAGCCUCUACUGUCUGUCUAAUAAUUAAAUAUCGAGUGCAUACAUAUGUUACCAAAGUAGCCAUAUUGAACUGAGGUUACAAAAAUGAGAAGGGAGGUAGUUUAUAAACAUUGUAAUGUAAUGUGACAGAUAUCUGCUGCAAACCCAAGCACGUUUCAAAUGGCCCUCGAGGACUUCAACUGAAAGGUGUUACACUUGUAAGGGGCAAAGGCGCCUGAAAAUAAUGAUGGCGUGCGUACGGGUGGCUGUCCGAGUUCGAUCCCUGAACAAGAGAGAAAAGGACUUGUCUUCUAAGGUCAUUAUUCGUAUGGAGGAAAAUAAGACCUCUAUCCUCAAUGUUAAGGAUAUUCUUAUGAAUAUAUCAGAAGAGAAGACAAAGUCAUUCAUCUAUGAUUUUUCUUAUGACUCCAGCAAUGCAAAGAAUCCCAACUUUGCAACUCAAGAUAAGGUCUUCACAGACCCGGGUCGUGAUGUUCUGGAGGCAGCCUUUGAAGGUUACAAUGCCUGCAUCUUUGCCUACGGCCAGACUGGUUCCGGGAAGUCAUACACAAUGAUGGGCACUGCAGAUGAUGUUUGACUGACCCCUCGCAUCUGUGAAGGCCUUUUCAGCCAGAUCACAGGACUGUCCCAGAUGGACCAUACCUCCUUCCACACGUCAGUCAGCUAUCUGGAGAUCUACAAUGAGCGAGUGCGAGACCUCUUGGGCAGGAAGCCGACGGAGGGAAGCUGCCUGAGAGUGAGGGAGCACCCCAGAGAUGGACCUUAUGUGGAAGGCCCGAUUCGAUGCAGAGCUGCCCAGCGAGACCACGAGCAAGAUCCACCUGGUGGACCUGGCGGGCAGUGAGCGUGCGGAAGCCACGGGUGCCUCGGGCACCCGACUCAAGGAGGGCGCCAACAUCAACAAGUCGCUAGUGGCCCUGGGAAACGUCAUCUCAGCCCUUGCCGACGCGUCUGUGGCUGGAGGCGUGAAGACAAAGAAGAGGAGCCCUUUUAUCCCCUACCGAGACUCCGUACUGACCUCGCUCCUGAAGGACAGCUUGGGGGGAAACUCCAAGACCAUCAUGAUUGCAACCAUUUCCCCUGCCUACUUGAACUACGGCGAGACCCUCAGCGCGCUCCGCUACGCCAACCGCGUCAAGAACAUCUUGAACCAGCCCACGGUGAACGAGGACGGCAAUGUAAAGAUCAUCCGUGAGCUCAGGGACGAGAUUGCCCACCUGAAGGCUCUUCUGGCGCAGGGAACCCGCGUGUCCCCAGUGGGCCCCAGACUGGGAGCCAGUGUUGAGGAGAAGCUUCAGCGUAAUGAGGCUCGGGUCCUGCAGCUGACCCAGGAGUGGACCAAUAAGUGGAAAGAGACACAGAGCAUUUUAAGGGAGGAGACCGUGGCCCUGAGGAAGGAGGGCAGUGGCGUUGUGCUGGACUCUGGGCUGCCGCACCUGAUCGGCAUCGACGACGACCUCCUGAGCACAGGGGUCAUCCUGUACCGUUUACAAGAGGGCAGAACGUCUGUUGGCCGCGCAGAUGCCGCAACAAAACAGGACAUUGUGUUGGACAGUGCCGGUGUCUUAAAGGAACACUGUGUGUUUGAGAACCGAGACGGAGCAGUCAUACUCACCCCUCUUCCUGGGGCCUCCUGCUUUGUCAGCGGAGCAGAGGUCACUGGACCCUGCCAGCUCACACAAGGUGCAGUGGUGGUGUUGGGGACGGGCACCACGUUCCGCUUCAACCACCCCAAAGAGGCAGCCGCUCUGCGCCUGAAGAGGCAGAGAUGCUGUCCAAGGCCACGCGGCACAUAUCUGGGGGAUCUGACAGCACUGAGGAGUGGAGAGAAUGUGGAAUCGAAGCACAACCAUGACAAUCUGACCGCUCAGACGUCUGAGUGGACGUCAGAGGUGGUGGAGGGUCAGGUGGUGGAGGAGCAGAGGAGGAAGGAGGAAAAAGAGGAUCACAGCCUUCCCAUCAUGCCACAGGAGGAGCGUCCCCCUGAGUAGCGGCAGGAUGAGACAAGGGCAGGGCAGCUCAGAAGUAGUCAUCACGCAGGCUGGAGUGCAGCAUCAGGUGCUGGUCUGAAUGGAGACGCAGUCGAGGACAUCAGUGCCCAGCUGAGGCUGUCCCCAGCCACGCCUCAGAUGGCCUGUCCUCAUUCCCUCCUCCCCAGGACGCAAAGGACGAGGAGGAGGAGGAGGAGG